AUGGGAGGGAUAGCACCUAGACUCAUCAUAACCGAUGAAGCCACUAGCAUCAAGAAUGGUAUUGACGAAGUUCUUCCAACCAGCGUUCAUAGGCUGUGCAUGUGGCAUAUAAUGGAAAAGGUUCCAGAAAAAGUUGGACCUGUGAUUAGAGAAGAUUCUGAAUUUUGGACGAGAUUGAACUCAUGUGUUUGGGGUUCGGAAACUUCAACAGAGUUUGAGUCACAGUGGAAUUCCAUCAUUACAGAUUUUGGAUUGGAGGAAAAUGAGUGGUUGAGUAAAAGGUUUAGCAUUCGACAUAAAUGGAUACCGGCCUACUUUAUGGAUAUAUCUCUAGCGGGCAUUCUUCGAACCAUUUCAAGAUCAGAAAGUGCAAAUUCCUUUUUUAACCGCUUCAUUCAUCGAAGGCUUGCUUUUGUUGAGUUUUGGCUUAGGUUUGACACAGCUUUAGAAUGCCAGCGUGAGGAAGAAUUAAUGGCAGACAACAGAAGCAUACAUACCACCCCGCAACUAUUUACGCCAUGGACAAUGGAGAAACAGGGUAGUGAGGUAUUCACAUAUGAGGUGUUCGAGAAAUUUCAGCUACAGGUUAUUGCUGCUAGAGACCAUUGUUGUGUUCAGAGUAUUACACAAGGUGUGGGGGUAAAAAAUGUGACCCUGAGAGGUCGGUCUGGUAAGAUUAGGGAGGUUUGCUAUGACAUUGGAAGCAUGACAGCAAAUUGUUCGUGCAAGUUAUUUGAGUCACUCGGUAUUCCAUGUCGCCAUACUAUCCAAGUAUUGAGGAUUGAAAACCAAAAUGAGCUUCCUAGCUACUACAUUAUGAAAAGAUGGCAGAAAAGGUGCAAAAGGUAA
rnacentral:rRNA from 1 species